CUGCUCAGUGAGCUCCGCCGACAGCCAGCCCUGCUCCUCCCUCCACGACCCUGCAGACCCCUCUGGGCUUCCAAGUUCCUGGGGGCUGCAGUGAACAUGCUCCACCCGCAUGGCUGGCAAACCAUGUGGGAUAGAAAAGAUGGGGCAUCCACCAGACUCUCCCAGUGCCCCGGCCCCAGCUGGCACCACAGCUAUACCUGGGCUUAUUCCAGACCUUGUCGCCGGGACCCCCUGGCCCCGCUGGGCUCUCAUUGCUGGCACCCUUGCCGCGGGCGUCCUCCUCGUCUCCUGCCUCCUCUGUGCUGCCUGCUGCUGCUGCCGCCGCCACAGGAAGAAGCGCAGGGACAAGGAGGCCGUGGGCCUGGGCAGUGCCCGAGGCACCACCACCACCCACCUGGUGCAACCUGAUGUGGAUAGCCUGGAGUCCAGCCCGGGGGGUGCUCAGCAAUGGGGGCGCCUGCAGCUCUCCCUGGAGUACGACUUUGGAAGCCAGGAGGUAAAGGGCCCCACUGCGCAGGACCAGCGAUUCUGCGAGUUUCCAGAAAGGGUGAUGGGGGAAGGGCAGACCCUGUGCCCUGGGUAGUGGGGAGCUGACAGGGCAGGGGCCCUUGGCUGAGCCCACCCCCCUGGCUGAGCCCACCCCCCUGGCUCCCAGAUCAGGGUGGGCCUGAGGCAGGCAGCCGACCUGGGGCCUGGGGGCACCGUGGACCCCUAUGCCCGGGUCAGCAUCUCCACCCAGGCCGGACACAGACAUGAGACAAAAGUGCACCGAGGCACGCUCUGCCCCGUGUUUGACGAGACCUGCUGCUUCCACGUGAGUCAGGGAUGGUCGGCUGGGUGGGCCUGGACGGCUGGUUGGGCCUGGGCUGGGUGGGCCUGGGCAGCUGGGUGGGCCUGAGCUAGGGCAACAGGGCCUGGCUCACACAGCUGCCUCAGAUCCCGCAGGCAGAGCUGCCAGGGGCCACCCUGCAGGUGCAGCUUUUCAACUUCAAGCGCUUCUCGGGGCAUGAGCCCCUGGGUGAGCUCCGCCUGCCACUGGGCACCGUGGAUCUGCAGCAUGUUCUGGAGCACUGGUACCCGCUGGGCCCGCCGGCUGCCACCGAGCCCGAGCAGGUCGGGGAGCUGUGCUUCUCUCUCCGGUACGUGCCCAGCUCAGGCCGGCUGACCGUGGUGGUGCUGGAGGCUCGAGGCCUGCGUCCAGGACUGGCAGAGCCGUACGUGAAGGUCCAGCUCAUGCUGAACCAGAGGAAGUGGAAGAAGAGAAAGACAGCCACCAAAAAGGGCACGGCGGCCCCCUACUUCAAUGAGGCCUUCACCUUCCUGGUGCCCUUCAGCCAGGUCCAGAAUGUGGACCUGGUGCUGGCUGUCUGGGACCACGGCCUUCCGCUCCGGGCUGAGCCCGUGGGCAAGGUGCACCUGGGUGCCCGGGCCUCGGGGCAGCCCCUGCAGCACUGGGCAGACAUGCUGGCCCACGCCCGGCGGCCCGUCGCCCAGUGGCACCCCCUGCGGCCAGCCAGGGAGGUGGACCGCGUGCUGGCCCUGCAGCCCCGCCUGCGCCUGCGCCUGCCCUUGCCCCACUCCUGAAUGCACCACGUGCCUCUGUCUCCCCGCUGGGCCCAGGCACUUGCUCAGGCCGCCCUGCAGGACCACUGCAAUAAACGCCUUCUCCUGCCA
rnacentral:sRNA from 1 species